rnacentral:rRNA from 1 species
AUAAUCUUAAGUAAAAUCUGCUCUAUGAAAAUUAAAUGGCCGCAGAAUUUUUACUGUGCUAAGGUAGCAUAAUCAUUUACCUUUUAAUUAAAGGUUUGUAUGAAAGAUUUAACAUUUAAAUUACUUUUUUAUUUAAAUAUAUUUUAAAUUUUAAUUAAGUAUAAAAAUGUAUUUAUUUUUAAAAAAGACGAUAAGACCCUAUUGAACUUUACUACUGUUAAGCUGGGGAAGCUAAUUAAAUAUAAUUUUAAUUUUUAACACUAAAAAUAUUUCUAAUAAAAUUAAUUAUAAAAGUUACCAUAGGGAUAACAGCGUUAUACUAUUUUAAAGAUCAUAUUAAAAAUAUUGUUUACGACCUCGAUGUUGAAUUAAAAUUCCUUAAAAACGCAAUAGUAAAAGAGGAGGUCUGU